rnacentral:rRNA from 1 species
GUGCCAGCAGCCGCGGUAAUACGUAGGGAGCGAGCGUUGUCCGGAAUUACUGGGCGUAAAGGGCGCGUAGGCCGUGUUAUAAGUUAGUUGUAAAACGUGUGGGCUUAACCCGCAUUCGCAACUAAAACUGUAACGCUAGAGGCAUAGAGAGGCAGACGGAAUUCCUGGUGUAGCGGUGAAAUGCGUAGAUAUCAGGAAGAACACCGGUGGCGAAGGCGGUCUGCUGGCUAUGAACUGACGCUGAAGCGCGAAAGCCAGGGGAGCAAACGGGAUUAGAUACCCCGGUAGUCC